ensembl:lncRNA
AACCGGUUUACUGCAGGGUCGGAAUCGGGCUUACUGCCACAGCAGGCGUUUCACCCUGGCAACAAAAUCGGCCUGGCUCCAUUAUGUAAAUAACAAUGACGUGUCAGCACGAUGCAAAACCUGUGCAAACUUAUUUUGUUUGUGGGAAGAUGCACAUGAUGGUUACGUGGUGAUCGCAGAGGUUAAUACCCGACAUUUAGGCACCCAAAGAGUGAAGGUGCCAUUGAGCCCAUUUCGGGCUGAGAAUUUUAGGAAUGAAGGGGGCGUGCUAUCACCGUGGUUACGACCCACGGCAGCCUGUCCGUUUUUUUCCCCGCCCUCAAAGAAUCAGAAAUUCCAGAAUCUAAAUCGAUAAGCAUAAUCUGAAUCUGAAUCAGAAUUGUUAAAAUCCAAACGAUGGCCAACACUAGUGACGGCUGGUUCAACCUGUGUGGCUUCAUUGCACCACAGGCAUGCAGCCUCACCCACAUCCCAGUAUCCAAUCAGUAAGAGGAGGGAGGCUGCUUUACAUGAGGCUGGUGAGAUCAACCACACACACUCACCAGGAUGUCUAUGGUGAAUGAAGGACAUAUUGUGAUUUUUAUUUAAAGAUUAAAGAGAGUAAAGAUUAAACAUUGUUUCUUCCUUCUUUCAUUUCCUUUUUGUAAAUCAGGAUAAAAGCAUUUUUUAAAUGACAAAAAUGUCAAUAUAAAAGGAGCAAGAAGUGGCCAAUGAGUGUCCAGGUGGGGGUUUCUACCCCUCAUUUGCUUAUCAUUCAAAACAUUGACAUAAUUCGCUUUUCCCACUUCUGUUUUAAAUCAGGUUAUACAAGCUUAUCAUAGUAGAUACUGAUAUCAGAGCCCUUAACUUUGAAAAUGUUGUAAUGAAGUACUUUUGCAGAAUAUUGUAAAUUGUAAUUAUAUCAAUAUGACAAAAUACAUUUGCUUUGAAAAUAAAUCAUAAAUAUGUGAAACCUGCUAGGCUAACCCUAUGUAAGAUCUUACUUUACAAAAGUGUAUCCAAAUGAUUCAACAUGCAAUUACACAUUUGGUCAAGUAGCUAAAUCUAUUGUACCAAAUUUCAAACAAACAUUUCAAACACAUUUUGCAAUGAGCUUCAACAUCACCAAACUGCUCACCAUUAACUGUGCUCCAUAGU